GCCGCAUCCAGAAACCUCUGCAGCAGCUCGGCUCUGACGCUCAUCACUUCAUCAGAUCAUCAUAUCAAAGAGCCAGGGUUUGUGUCCUGCUGUUACAUGGCCUUUAAGAUCGUGUCUCUUGAGGAACGUCUGACAAUGGAGUUUCCCCAUAAAAGAGAUGAAUAUCAAAGCCUGUUUGCUGGAGAUGCAGCUGAGAUCUGCUCGGUUCUUUCUGCAAGUCUUCUGAAGCUG